rnacentral:rRNA from 1 species
UACGAACUGUGCAAACGUUAUUCGGAAUCACUGGGCUUAAAGGGUGCGUAGGCGGCUUGUUAAGUAGGGUGUGAAAGCCCCCGGCUCAACCGGGGAAUUGCGCCCUAAACUGGCGAGCUGGAGUGGGAUAGGGGUGUGUGGAACUUCCGGUGGAGCGGUGAAAUGUGUUGAUAUCGGAAGGAACGCCGGUGGCGAAAGCGACACACUGGGUCUCAACUGACGCUGAGGCACGAAAGCCAGGGGAGCAAAGCGGG